UUACGGCCAUAUCACGUUGAAACACCGUAUCUUGUACGAUCACCGAAGUUGAGCAACGUCGAGCCUGGUCAGUGCCAAGAUAGGUGACCGCUUCGUAAUGCCAAGUGCUGUAA